rnacentral:rRNA from 1 species
GUGCCAGCAGCCGCGGUAACACGGGGGGUGCAAGCGUUAUUCGGAAUUAUUGGGCGUAAAGUGCGCGCAGGCGGUCUUGCCGGUCAGGUGUGAAAGCCCGGGGCUCAACCCCGGAAGAGCAUUUGAAACAGCAAGACUUGAGUACAGGAGAGGAAAGCGGAAUUCCUGGUGUAGAGGUGAAAUUCGUAGAUAUCAGGAGGAACACUCAUGGCGAAGGCAGCUUUCUGGACUGAUACUGACGCUGAGGCGCGAAGGUGUGGGUAGCGAACAGGAUUAGAUACCCUUGUAGUCC